rnacentral:rRNA from 1 species
UGGGGAAUUUUGGACAAUGGGCGCAAGCCUGAUCCAGCCAUGCCGCGUGCGGGAAGAAGGCCUUCGGGUUGUAAACCGCUUUUGUCAGGGAAGAAAAGGUUCUGGCUAAUACCUGGGACUCAUGACGGUACCUGAAGAAUAAGCACCGGCUAACUACGUGCCAGCAGCCGCGGUAAUACGUAGGGUGCAAGCGUUAAUCGGAAUUACUGGGCGUAAAGCGUGCGCAGGCGGUUAUGCAAGACAGAGGUGAAAUCCCGGGCUCAACCUGGGAACUGCCUUGUGACUGCAUGGCUAGAGUACGGUAGAGGGGGAUGGAAUUCCGCGUGUAGCAGUGAAAUGCGUAGAUAUGCGGAGGAACACCGAUGGCGAAGGCAAUCCCCUGGACCUGUACUGACGCUCAUGCACGAAAGCGUGGGGAGCGAAACAGGAUUAGAUACCCUGGUAGUCCACGCCCUAAACGAUGUCAACUGGUGUUGGGAGGUUUCGUUCUCAGUAACGUAG